rnacentral:rRNA from 1 species
UACGAAGGGGGCUAGCGUUGCUCGGAAUCACUGGGCGUAAAGCGCACGUAGGCGGCUUUUUAAGUCAGGGGUGAAAUCCUGGAGCUCAACUCCAGAACUGCCUUUGAUACUGAGAGCUUGAGUCCGGGAGUGGUGAGUGGAACUGCGAGUGUAGAGGUGAAAUUCGUAGAUAUUCGCAAGAACACCAGUGGCGAAGGCGGCUCACUGGCCCGGUACUGACGCUGAGGUGCGAAAGCGUGGGGAGCAAACAGG